UUAACCCCGGAAUGACUGAGUCAUUUUAGAAUCGUUGUAAUGGUCUAAUUAGUUAGGUUUGUCCAUGGCCGGUUCCAGCCAUUUCCAAAUUAUACUUGGGACAAAAUUUGAAGUUAAGACUUCUUGUAAAUCAACAUUAUCAUUGGACCAAAUUCGUGUUGGUUUAAAAAUGAAAAGAUUCAGUGAGCUACUAUAUUAUAUUAGUCGAGGUGUGCUGCCACGGAUGCAUAUUCAUGUCGAUAACUUCAUUAUUGAAAAACCAAAACUUUCCACAAUAAUAAAUUUGAAGUAGACCCUACUUAUUCGUUCCCACCUUUUGUUAAAAUCAAUCCAAACCAGUGAACCACAUGUAAUACAUUAGUACCACCACAAUAUAUAAGUCAGUUUCAAGAGUCAAAAACACUUGUUGAAGCUGCUUCUCAAGAAUGACACCAAUCACCAGAUUGUUGUUCAUCAUCAUCUCUUCAGUUUCUUCAAUCUAUCGCAUUGUUCGACAGCACCCUCUUCAAGUUUCCUACAGUCCUCUUGGACGGAUAUUACGGAGGCACAUCAUCAACAUAAUCAUCAACACAUGACCAAAUUUCUCAAAAGUUCAAUGGUUUAUAUAGUAUGUAUACUCUAGCUGUGCAGUUCAUAUAUUGUAUCUAAAUAUAUACCCAAGUUGCCAUGGGCUGCUGGAAGUUCCAUAACUGGAAUCAACUACUUUAGCAACCCUGUUUAUGAUGUAUGUUUAUACAAAAAUGAGAUGAUAAACUUUGCUCUGUUUUUUCA